rnacentral:piRNA from 1 species
CUGGAAAAUCAGUACAGGUGAUUCAUGCC